AGCUGGAAUGUUACUGUAGAUCCCCAACUUUGAUGGCUAAACCACUCCGGAGUCGUGUCUCCCGGGAGGCAGAAACUACAUGCCGCUUCUGGAAAAUCGGGCAGCUGUAAACACAACUCAAAUAGCAUCUUUUUAAAAUGAAAGGUGGUAAAUAGAGAAAAAAAGAUGUAUAUCAGAGCUUUGAGAAACAAACCUGAUGGUAUAACCUUUUGGUAUAAAGUUGAAAUUUCAGUAAUGAGUACGCCAAGAUUUGAUUGAACAAACGCGAUCUCGAGCAAUUAGUGAAAAUGAAUUCAAAAAUGUUCCCCUCAACUACAGUUGAUGACCUGUGGUGGAAGCCCUGGUAAUGAUUCAAUCUCUCGCAAUUGUCUGCAUCCAACUUUGAUAGCUGUGGUGGAAGCUCCGGUAAUGAUUCAAGCCUCCUGCAAUUCCUUAAUCCUAGAUAUUGCAACUCAAACAGUUUAUUGAUGGUUAUAGGUAUUGUCCUGAAAUUGUUUCCACUUAGAUCUAACACUUCCAGUGACGAAAAACGACCAAGACUGUCCGGCACUUCCGAUAGAUUGCAACCAUCUAGAUUUAGCUUACGCAAACAAUCUAAAUCCACGCCUCUCUCGGGCAAUUGC